UACAGAGGUCCCAAGCGUUGUUCGGAUUCACUGGGCGUAAAGGGUGCGUAGGUGGUUGGGUAAGUUUGAUGUGAAAGCUCUGGGCUCAACCCAGAAAUGGCAUUGAAUACUAUUCGACUAGAGGAGUGGAGGGGGGACUGGAAUACUUGGUGUAGCAGUGAAAUGCGUAGAUAUCAAGUGGAACACCAGUGGCGAAGGCGAGUCCCUGGACACUUCCUGACACUGAGGCACGAAAGCUAGGGGAGCAAAC
rnacentral:rRNA from 1 species